rnacentral:misc_RNA from 1 species
AGCAGCCGCGGUAAUUCCAGCUCCAAUAGCGUAUAUUAAAGUUGUUGCAGUUAAAAAGCUCGUAGUUGAAUUUCGGGAUCAAAGAAUCGGUCAUGCCUUGGUAUGUACUGGUUUUAUUGGUUCUCACCUUCUAAAGAACCAUGAUGUCAUUCAUUUGAUGUUAUGGGGAAUUAGGACUGUUACCUUGAAAAAUUAGAGUGUUUAAAGCAAGCUUACGCUUGAAUACAUUAGCAUGGAAUAAUGAAAUAGGACGUUUGAUUCUAUUUUGUUGGUUUCUAGGAUCGACGUAAUGAUUAAUAGGGAUAGUUGGGGGCACUAGUAUUCAAUCGUCAGAGGUGAAAUUCUUGGAUUUAUUGAAGACUAACUACUGCGAAAGCAUUUGCCAAGGAUGUUUUCAUUAAUCAAGAACGAAAGUUAGGGGAUCGAAGACGAUCAGAUACCGUCGUAGUCUUAACCAUAAACUAUGCCGACUAGGGAUCGGAUGAUGUUAAUUUUAAUGACUCAUUCGGCGCCUUAAC